CCUACGGGAGGCAGCAGUGGGGAAUAUUGGGCAAUGGGCGCAAGCCUGACCCAGCAACGCCGCGUGAAGGAAGAAGGCUUUCGGGUUGUAAACUUCUUUUCUCAGGGACGAAGGAAGUGACGGUACUAGAGGAAGAAGUCACGGCUAACUACGGGCCAGCAGCCGAGGUAAUACGUAGGUGGCAAGCGUUAUCCGUAUUUACUGGGUGUAAAGGGCGUGUAGGCGGGACGGCAAGUCAGAUGUGAAAACCACGGGCUCAACCUGUGGCCUGCAUUUGAUACUGUAGUUCGUGAGUACUGGAGAGGCGGGCGGAAUUCCUGGUGUAGCGGUGAAAUGCGUAGAUAUUAGGAGGAACACCGGUGGCGAAGGCGGUCUGCUGGACAGCAACUGACGCUGAGGCGCGAAAGCGUGGGGAGCAAACAGGAUUAGAUACCCCAGUAGUC
rnacentral:rRNA from 1 species